rnacentral:rRNA from 1 species
AGACGGUAGGGUAUUGGCCUACCGUGGCUAUGACGGGUAACGGGGAAUUAGGGUUCGAUUCCGGAGAGGGAGCCUGAGAAACGGCUACCACAUCUAAGGAAGGCAGCAGGCGCGCAAAUUACCCAAUCCUGACACAGAGAGGUAGUGACAAGAAAUAACAAUACAGGGCCUAACGGUCUUGUAAUUGGAAUGAGUGAAGUAUAAACCCCUUUACGAGUAUCAAUUGGAGGGCAAGUCUGGUGCCAGCAGCCGCGGUAAUUCCAGCUCCAAUAGCGUAUAUAAAAGUUGUUGCAGUUAAAAAGCUCGUAGUUGGAUUUCUGUUGUAUAACCUGUAAUAUUACUAAGGUAUAUAUAAUAUAAUCAACAUCCUUCCUAUUAUAUUUCUAAAUAUAUAGGAAACUUUACUUUGAGAAAAUUAGAGUGCUUAAAGCAGGCAACUGCCUUGAAUACUCCAGCAUGGAAUAAUAAGCAAGGACUUUUGUCUUUCUUAUUGGUUCUAGGACAAAAGUAAUGGUUAAUAGGGACAGUUGGGGGCAUUCGUA